GAUGAACGCUGGCGGCAGGCUUAACACAUGCAAGUCGAGCGGAGAUGAGGUGCUUGCACCUUAUCUUAGCGGCGGACGGGUGAGUAAUGCUUAGGAAUCUGCCUAUUAGUGGGGGACAACAUUCCGAAAGGAAUGCUAAUACCGCAUACGUCCUACGGGAGAAAGCAGGGGAUCUUCGGACCUUGCGCUAAUAGAUGAGCCUAAGUCGGAUUAGCUAGUUGGUGGGGUAAAGGCCUACCAAGGCGACGAUCUGUAGCGGGUCUGAGAGGAUGAUCCGCCACACUGGGACUGAGACACGGCCCAGACUCCUACGGGAGGCAGCAGUGGGGAAUAUUGGACAAUGGGGGGAACCCUGAUCCAGCCAUGCCGCGUGUGUGAAGAAGGCCUUAUGGUUGUAAAGCACUUUAAGCGAGGAGGAGGCUACUGAGACUAAUACUCUUGGAUAGUGGACGUUACUCCCAGAAUAAGCACCGGCUAACUCUGUGCCAGCCGCCGCCGUAAAAC
rnacentral:rRNA from 1 species